GGAGUCACCUGCAUCAUCUUCUGUGUGCUUUUCCUCGUCUUCAGCUACCACGGCAGGUUAAUGAUGUGUAAGGCGGUUCAGGCCACCCCCCAGGCAGGGCACAGCGCAGUGCUGGAAUCCUCUUCCUCUUCCCAGGGGGCUUCUGGGCUCAACGGGGCUGCCAGGAGAGAGUUGGAGGUGAAUGGCAGCGCAGCUGGGAAGAAAGUGACCGACAGCAACGAGCUCCAGAGACUUUUUACUCAACCCACCACACAAGAGACAUGCAUGUCCAACUCCUACGUGCUGAACGACACCAAGCUGUCUACGAUACCGCUAGACGAGUUUGCGCUGGAGCAAGAGACGCAGUUCCAGGAGCCUCCUGCAGCAGGAGCGGGUCGGCAGGACCAAGGCUAAUCAUGUAUGAGGCCAAUUCACACGACACUAUCCACAGUGUCCCCUUGGACUCUUCUCUCACUCAGGUUGACAAGUGUUUCCUUUCAAAGUAGUUUUUCUUUUUGUGCAAAGAUGUUUUUUUUAUUGGUAAAUUAAGAAGUCCUAGAGGAUCUAGGGCUGUAUAUCAGAGUGUUUUUGGCCUGAGCUCUCUUCGGAGGCAGGCCAGUGAAAUGUUCUUUAUUUUUUACAAUUUGGUCUUUUGUUAAUUUUCUGGUGUUGGGUAGCACACAGAAUAGAGGCCCCAUAAUGUCCUUGUUAUACAAUGAUGAUUUUAUUUUUAAGUUUAUAAAUAUAUAUAUACAUAUAUAUCUUUAUCACCUAUAUGUCAAAGUGGUUAUAAGUUAUUGGUCUUAUCUCUACUUUUCUGUGGAUGUCAAAGACUCCUGCUGCCUGCUCUCACCUACCAAUGAUUCCACCGUAUCGCUCACAGAAGACCUCAGCCUUCGUCCAGGGAUUCGAUGUAUUCUGUCUCAGGACUUUGUUUCAGUGAUAUCAAUAUUUUUUAUGAGUUCUCGACCUUGUGAACCUUUACGAUUCAACAAAAACCUACCUCAGCCGGAAUGAAUGUGUUGCGGGAAGCUUUUAAGGGACUUUACCUUCCCCUGUGCUCACAAUUACUUUACAUGCGGAGGAACCAAUUGGUUUGAAAAUUACAAGAUCAGGUGCCGCACUACCUCAGAUGUCAAGAAUCGUCUCUCUUCUCCUGCUUGUCGAAGCAAAACGAACAAAAACGAGUAUCCAACAUAAAGCACUUCCAAAUGCUGAAGUUAAUGUUCUACCUCAAGAUAACAAUGUUAAUGUUGUCGCUGUUGUUGUUGUUGUUUGUCUGUUUAUUGCAUAAUGAAAAACCCUCUUUUGCCCCCUCUGUGAAAUCCUGGCUUCCCUCUGUUGAUGAAUAUGUUGUUUGUAGAUUCAAUGUCAGUACCUCAUGCAAGUUGACAUACUGAUAACACUGUUGUAUGAAUUACAGUAUGUUAGGACAAAGUAUGAAUUAUGAUGUGCCAUUGUCAGCUUUUUUUUAUCAUUUGACUGAAAAGAGCGUUAGAGAUACACUGCAUUGCUAAUGAUAUUUUCAGGACUAUUUACUGCUCAACGAUACAUAAUGUUCAAUUGGACAAGAGGCAAAAUAAUAAUAUAUACAGACAUCAUACAUGUGUCAAAAAUUUGCGCUGUGAUUGAAUUUUGUGAGUGAGUGUGUGUGUGUGUGUGUUGUGUGUCAUACAGUAUGUUUCAUUGAUUGAAUGAAUGUUUUCAUGUAAAGCAAGAAGAAAAUGGAGCACUAAUCUUAUGAAAAUGUUCCAAAACAUUAUUCCGCUGUUGUUGGUAUAAUGGCUUAAAGGAAUAGUUUGACAUUUUGGGAAAUACGCCUUAUGGCUUUCUUGCUGACAGUUCGACGAUACCACUCUUUUAUCCCUGCGUUAUCUAUUUAGCUAUAGCUGGUAGGCGAUUAGCCUAGCUUAGCAUGUAGCGUACAGAACAUAACUUCCCCUAAAAUCACAAAUUGUCCUAUUUACAUUACUGUUUGAGCACACAUCUAACAAUUGAGAUGUGACAUGUUAAUUAGUGAGCUUUAGAGGUGCUGGUAGGCAGAUUGGUUUAGAGCCAGGCUAGCUGUUCCCCCUGCUUCAAGUCUUUGUGCUAAGCUAGGCUAAUUGUCCUUUCAGCUCUAGCUACAUUCUUCUUGGGAAAUAUGCAUAUUUUCUUUCUGGAGGAAAUCUUGAUGAGAAGACUGGCACGACUCUCAUGUCUGUAGGCUACUGUAUAUGAAGCUACAGCCAGCUGAUGGUUAGCCUAGCUUAGCAUAAGACCUCAGCACCUAUAAAGCACACUUUUUAAUACAUUAUAUCUUGUUUGUUUAGCUCGUACACAACAAUUUUGUCAGUUUGCCGUUUUAAGGGGGAUUAUGUGCUAGACUAUUUCAUGACUGAACAGUAACUUCCUGGAGUCUCCAACUAUUACGUGAUAUUUAAUGGACAGAUGUGAGCGUGGUAUUGACCUUCUCUAACUUUUCACCAGGUAACAAAUAACCGUCGGAAAUGUUCAACUAUUCCUUCGAUUUAAAUUGUCAGCAGUGUAUUUCUAAGCUCAUUCUGGAUAUUUGUUGCUGCAGUGCUCUUAGUGAUUUUGUUUUCACAUCACAUUAUCUGCCUCUUUUUUAAACAAAGUAGUAGCCUUUCAGAUUUAUGGUGCCCAGGAGACAUGGCAGUUGCUGAUCAUGUUUGACUAUUGUUACUCUCUUCCCAAAACCACAACUGCUGCUCAGCCUUCGCCCUCCUGUCAACACUGACUAGUUAAAAUGCUUCAGGAACACCGUGUUUAUAAUAUUGCUGGAUGUUGACGACGAGAGACGGAGAGCAGGUUGAGGGAGAUAAACGUCGUCGGGUGGCUCUACAAUCACAGGGCUUCUCUCUCCGGCUCUCUGUUACUCUGUGUCGUCACAUACUGUACAGGACUUGAUGCAUCAUGGUUACCUACCUCAACCCUGUUUUUGGCCUUUCUCUCAGGUCUUAAUGAAGGAAACAUGCAGAGUAAGAACAAUGGAGUAGAUAAAUACAUACAUAUAUAUACAUGUACAUAUAUAUUUCAAUUGUCGCCAAAUGCUGGACAGACAAAGGGACACAUACAGUACACAAGCACACAAGUGGAGGGAGAACUUUUUCGGAUCUUUAUCUUGUGCACUAACUAUUAAAACGGUUCAAGUUCAUGC
rnacentral:lncRNA from 1 species